rnacentral:rRNA from 1 species
GAUGAACGCUGGCGGCGUGCUUAACACAUGCAAGUCGAGCGAAGGGCGGUGGAAGCUUUCUUCUAUCAAUCUUAGUGGCGAACGGGUGUGUAACGCGGAAUCAACCUGCCCUUCAGUGGGGGACAACAGGUGGAAACUACUGCUAAUACCGCAUACGAUCUAAUCGCUGCAUCGAGGAUAGAUGAAAGGUGUCCUCGACAUGUAAGCUUUCACCGAAGCAGCAGAUGGCGUCUGAUUAGCUAGCUGGAGGGGUAAGGGCCCACCAAGGCGAUGAUCAGUAGGCGGUCUGAGAGGAUGAACGGCCACAUUGGGACUGAGACACGGCCCAGACUCCUAAGGGAGGCAGCAGUGGGGAAUCCUGCGCAAUGGACGAAAGUCUGAAGGAGCCACGCCGCGUGAGGGAUGACGGCCUUCGGGUUGUAAAGCUCUGUUAAUCGGGAAGAAAGGCCUUCUUGCGAAUAGUGAGAAGGAUUGACGGUACCGGAAUAGAAAGCCACGGCUAACUACGUG